AUUGAACGCUGGCGGCAGGCCUAACACAUGCAAGUCGAGCGGAUGAAGGGAGCUUGCUCCUGGAUUCAGCGGCGGACGGGUGAGUAAUGCCUAGGAAUCUGCCUGGUAGUGGGGGAUAACGUCCGGAAACGGGCGCUAAUACCGCAUACGUCCUGAGGGAGAAAGUGGGGGAUCUUCGGACCUCACGCUAUCAGAUGAGCCUAGGUCGGAUUAGCUAGUUGGUGGGGCAAAGGCCUACCAAGCCGACGAUCCGUAACUGGUCUGAGAGGAUGAUCAGUCACACUGGAACUGAGACACGGUCCAGACUCCUACGGGAGGCAGCAGUGGGGAAUAUUGGACAAUGGGCGAAAGCCUGAUCCAGCCAUGCCGCGUGUGUGAAGAAGGUCUUCGGAUUGUAAAGCACUUUAAGUUGGGAGGAAGGGCAGUAAGUUAAUACCUUGCUGUUUUGACGUUACCAACAGAAUAAGCACCGGCUAACUUCGUG
rnacentral:rRNA from 1 species